rnacentral:rRNA from 1 species
CACUCCUGCGGGAGGCAGCAGUGAGGAAUAUUGGACAAUGGGUGGAAGCCUGAUCCAGCCAUCCCGCGUGCAGGAAGACGGCCCUAUGGGUUGUAAACUGCUUUUAUCUGGGGAUAAACCUACUUACGUGUAAGUAGCUGAAGGUACCAGAAGAAUAAGCACCGGCUAACUCCGUGCCAGCAGCCGCGGUAAUACGGAGGGUGCAAGCGUUAUCCGGAUUUAUUGGGUUUAAAGGGUCCGUAGGCGGACUGAUAAGUCAGUGGUGAAAUCCGACAGCUUAACUGUCGAACUGCCAUUGAUACUGGUAGUCUUGAGUAAGGUUGAAGUGGCUGGAAUAAGUAGUGUAGCGGUGAAAUGCAUAGAUAUUACUUAGAACACCAAUUGCGAAGGCAGGUCACUAAGUCUUAACUGACGCUGAUGGACGAAAGCGUGGGGAGCGAACAGGAUUAGAAACCCCUGUAGUCCCAUGA